rnacentral:misc_RNA from 1 species
AAGGGGUUUUGCUUGGCGUCGUCACAGAAAGAAAGAAAGAUGGCGGCCAAUGGUGCAAGAAGAACCCUUCAGUUCUCUUCAACUUCUGCAAAAGCCCUCUUAACCCGUUCACCACCACCACCAACAACAAAAACGAUAUCUUCCCUUUUUGCUUCAAAAGCCGCUAGCUUGAGUGGACUCUUUCCUAAGCCCUCCUCUUGUAGUCGCUUAUCACUCCACAAGCUAAACUUCUCCAGGCUUCCUGUGGAG